rnacentral:rRNA from 1 species
CGUUUUUGGAGUUUUUAGGGUUUUGAUUCUGGCUCAGAUUGAACGCUGGCGGCAUGCUUUACACAUGCAAGUCGAACGGCAGCGCGGACUUCGGUCUGGUGGCGAGUGGCGAACGGGUGAGUAAUAUAUCGGAACGUACCCAAGAGUGGGGGAUAACGUAGCGAAAGUUACGCUAAUACCGCAUACGAUCUAUGGAUGAAAGCAGGGGAUCGCAAGACCUUGUGCUCCUGGAGCGGCCGAUAUCUGAUUAGCUAGUUGGUGGGGUAAAGGCCCACCAAGGCAACGAUCAGUAGCUGGUCUGAGAGGACGACCAGCCACACUGGAACUGAGACACGGUCCAGACUCCUACGGGAGGCAGCAGUGGGGAAUUUUGGACAAUGGGGGCAACCCUGAUCCAGCAAUGCCGCGUGAGUGAAGAAGGCCUUCGGGUUGUAAAGCUCUUUUGUCAGGGAAGAAAAGGCUGCGGCUAAUAUCCGCAGCUGCUGACGGUACCUGAAGAAUAAGCACCGGCUAACUACGUGCCAGCAGCCGCGGUAAUACGUAGGGUGCAAGCGUUAAUCGGAAUUACUGGGCGUAAAGCGUGCGCAGGCGGUUUCGUAAGUCUGUCGUGAAAUCCCCGGGCUUAACCUGGGAAUGGCGAUGGAGACUGCGAGGCUAGAGUUUGGCAGAGGGGGGUAGAAUUCCACGUGUAGCAGUGAAAUGCGUAGAGAUGUGGAGGAACACCGAUGGCGAAGGCAGCCCCCUGGGUCAAAACUGACGCUCAUGCACGAAAGCGUGGGGAGCAAACAGGAUUAGAUACCCUGGUAGUCCACGCCCUAAACGAUGUCUACUAGUUGUUGGGUCUUAAUUGACUUAGUAACGCAGCUAACGCGUGAAGUAGACCGCUCUGGGAGUAGUGACAAUGG